rnacentral:lncRNA from 1 species
AGGCUCCCAGGCUCAAAGACGAAGACGGGCACCAGCUCGGAGGCUCUACUGACCGACCGCUUGUCUCUAAUUCUUGCCUGACACAGACAUUCCUUGCCCAGGGAAGUGUUUGAUUUAUGUUGAGGUUUGAGUGUCGGGAUUUUGCUGACAGGAGAAUCAGAUACCUGUCAGACUGAGAAAGUGUGGAAUAAUUGCUGUGAGCUGCCUCUGUCAAGAACAAGGAGUAAAGACCUCGUCUGCCCUGCUCGCUGCUGCAUCUCCAGCGCUACUUAACAGGGCGGGCUGACAGCCCGGGCUCGGUACACCCGGUAUCGGGGCAGCGUGCCACGCCUUCACACGCACUGUCUCACGUAAUCCUCCCAGCGACCCCGUGAGACAGGCACUUUGCUGAUCCCUGCGUUAGAGCUGAGGACACUGAGGUACGGAGUGAUGAAGUGAGUCACUAAGCCGCAGAGCUUAGAAGUGGUAGCGCUAGAGCUGGGUUUGAUGCAAGAGCAAAGCCUGGUGUCCAACCACUUCUCAGACGUUAUUGGUGGCAGGAGAG